AGUUACAUAUUUCUACGCUUGACUGAUAUUUAUGUUUAAAAGUAAUAAUAUUGAUUCAUAAUAAUAAUACGUACGGUAUAGAAUUAAGUACUUUUUUUAAUAUAACAUGUAAGAUCUGUUUCUCAAGUCUUUAUUUAUUUUUAAAUUACAACAAUUGGCGUUGCCCAACUUUUUGCACAAGUUUCGGAUAUCCAAAGAAAUUGAAUUAUUUAGUCUGUAGUAAAUUAUA